rnacentral:rRNA from 1 species
CCUACGGGUGGCAGCAGUGAGGAAUAUUGGUCAAUGGACGAGAGUCUGAACCAGCCAAGUAGCGUGAAGGAUGACUGCCCUAUGGGUUGUAAACUUCUUUUAUAUGGGAAUAAAAUGUUCCACGUGUGGGAUUUUGUAUGUACCAUAUGAAUAAGGAUCGGCUAACUCCGUGCCAGCAGCCGCGGUAAUACGGAGGAUCCGAGCGUUAUCCGGAUUUAUUGGGUGUAAAGGGAGCGUAGGUGGAUUGUUAAGUCAGUUGUGAAAGUUUGCGGCUCAACCGUACAAUUGCAGUUGAAACUGGCAGUCUUGAGUACAGUAGAGGUGGGCGGAAUUCGUGGUGUAGCGGUGAAAUGCUUAGAUAUCACGAAGAACUCCGAUUGCGAAGGCAGUUCACUGGACUGCAACUGACACUGAGGCUCGAAAGUGUGGGUAUCAAACAGGAUUAGAUACCCUGGUAGUC